rnacentral:rRNA from 1 species
UGGGGAAUAUUGGACAAUGGGGGGAACCCUGAUCCAGCCAUGCCGCGUGUGUGAAGAAGGUCUUCGGAUUGUAAAGCACUUUAAGUUGGGAGGAAGGGCAGUAAGCGAAUACCUUGCUGUUUUGACGUUACCGACAGAAUAAGCACCGGCUAACUCUGUGCCAGCAGCCGCGGUAAUACAGAGGGUGCGAGCGUUAAUCGGAUUUACUGGGCGUAAAGCGUGCGUAGGCGGCUAAUUGAGUCGGAUGUGAAAUCCCCGAGCUUAACUUGGGAAUUGCAUUCGAUACUGGUUAGCUAGAGUGUGGGAGAGGAUGGUAGAAUUCCAGGUGUAGCGGAGAAAUGCGUAGAGAUCUGGAGGAAUACCGAUGGCGAAGGCAGCCAUCUGGCCUAACACUGACGCUGAGGUACGAAAGCAUGGGGAGCAAACAGG